rnacentral:rRNA from 1 species
AUUGAACGCUGGCGGCAGGCCUAACACAUGCAAGUCGAACGAGUGGCGGACGGGUGAGUAAUGUCUGGGAAACUGCCUGAUGGAGGGGGAUAACUACUGGAAACGGUAGCUAAUACCGCAUACCAUCGGAUGUGCCCAGAUGGGAUUAGCUAGUAGGUGGGGUAACGGCUAACCUAGGCGACGAUCCCUAGCUGGUCUGAGAGGAUGACCAGCCACCCGGGAACGGAGACCCGGUCCAGCCGCCUAGGGGAGGAACAAUUGGGGAAUAUUGCACAAUGGGCGCAAGCCUGAUGCAGCCCUGCCGCGUGUAUGAAGAAGGCCUUCGGGUGGUAAAGUACUUUCAGCGGGGAGGCGUUACCCGCAGAAGAAGCACCGGCUAACUCCGUGCCAGCCGCCGCGGUAAUUC